rnacentral:rRNA from 1 species
AUUGAACGCUGGCGGCAGGCCUAACACAUGCAAGUCGAGCGAGCGGCGGAGGGGUGAGUAAUGUAUGGGGACUGCCCGAUAGAGGGGGAUAACUUCUGGAAACGGUGGCUAAUCCCGCAUACUAUCGGAUAACCCAUAGGGGCUUAGCUAGUAGGUGGGGGAAAGGUUCCCCUGGGCGACGAUCGCUAGCUGGUCUGAGAGGAUGAUCAGCGUGACUGGGACUGAGACACGGCCCAGACUCCAAGGGAGGCAGCAGUGGGGAAUAUUGCACAAUGGGCGCAAGCCUGAUGCAGCCAUGCCGGGGGUAUGAAGAAGGCCUUAGGGUUGUAAAGUACUUUCAGCGGGGAGGCGUUACCCGCAGAAGAAGCACCGGCUAACUCCGUGCCAGCAGCCGCGGUAAUAC